ensembl:lncRNA
CUGGCCCUGGUUCUCCAACUGAUCCAUGUUUACCCUGCAGGUGUCACGCCCGGUGUGGCAGGCGUGUGGAGUUUGUAGAGAGGACCCAGAAGGCGGCAGCUCUGGUGCAGUGUUUUAUUUAUAUUGCAUGUCUUUGGUUACACCGUCAAUCUGUCCUGGAGAGACUCCGCCCUUUUCCCAUUUCACUGAUUGGACACACCUGAGAGAAGAGGAGUGAGGGGUAAUUUACACAGAGUGCUCAGUGACUCAAGACUCUGGUACAGCUUGGCGUGAAAGGAGGGAAAGCCAGCGACGCGGGGCGAACGAUCCGACUGCUGCAGCAACGGGAGGGAGAUACGGCGCCAGCGAUCGAGGGCGCGGAGCGAGCGGUCCGACGGCUGCAGCAACGGAAGCCCAGAUUACGCGUCUGCGAAGAAUUAGAGGCGGCGAGGCAGGCCAGUGCCAUUUACCGGUCACAAGGAAGCAGCGGGCAGAGUUGAGAGCUCUGCCCACCCGGGGUAAGUCUUUUUGACUUGUCCCCUUUUAAUGAACGCUAGCUCCCUAAAAGAGUAGUGACUGCUGCUGCCUUUCCUUUUUUAGCGCAUUGGGGCGCAGAACGCGGAGAGGAAGGCGAGGACGCUGCCGGGUUCCCUCCCUGUAUUGCUUCACCGGAUUUGUUAUUAGUGACUCUUAUACCGUGGCGCACGCCGCUGGACUUUUAACGUUGUGUUUUAUUGAUUUUUAUUGUUGUCCCCUGGCCAGGGCUGUUUUAAUCUAUUUUAUAUAUUUCUUUAACUGUUUAAAUGUAAUAAAUUAUAUUUUAUCCUUACAGUUUUUAAAUUUGUGUGCAUUCCCUUGGCUGCCCCACUGCUCUGUCCGUUUUAGGAGCGUUUCUCUCUUUUUUAACAUCUGUGCAAAGAAACACCUUCCCUCCGUUACACAUCCCAGAUAGCAAGACGACAUUGAAUCUAUGUUGAUUUUUCAUCCGAACCGUCGUAUAUGGUCGGGGUUGAAAUGCCAAUGUUGUAACAACAUUGAAAUACUGUGGUAAACCGACGGUCUUACUAUAGAGACGUUGUAACGAUGUUGAUUCACCGUUGUUUUUUUGUCAUUGAUAUUUGAUCUAUUUGUAGUCGACCAGGUGACAACAACAACGUCGAGAAAACGUCUAUUUAUAGUUGACGAUCAUUCGGCUCCGGUCACCAUCAAAAACCAUCGAUUUGUAGUUGAGCAUUAAAUUGCACUGCAACUGAUCGGGUAUAAAGUACCAGAGAAAGUAGAUUUAUUGUUCAUUUGUUAUCAAUGACUUGGUCUAGUUCACCAGCUUUAAAAAAAUCAUGUCUACGUGCAAUUUAUGUAUAGUUGACCGGGAAAUUAAAGCAGCGAUCACUUGGACUAUUCCGCAGCACCCCUCUCACAUUGGUACAUCCCCCCAGGUAUUCAUUGUCUUCUACAGUAGAGCGGGACAUUUGAUUUACUCUCAGUGGAAUUGACCGGAGAAGGCAUCAGGUCAUGCACUGCACUGGCCUGCACCACGAUUAGUAUAAGGCACAUUUCACGAAGCAGAACGCAGUCUUCAGAGAUAUCCACGUGAACGCUGUGAUACGUCUGACCUUCAGUCCGAAAAAGAAAACCCAGACCAGUCUUAAAAGAAAGCACAAACCAAAUCCCCUGUACACAUAUACGGACUCAGAGGAUGAGCAGCCUACAAAAAACGGUUUCCCCAGGCCCCUCGAGUGAAAAUACCAG